rnacentral:lncRNA from 12 species
UUGCAUUGCCCAGAAAGCCCCGAGGGCCUUGCACUGUUAGUACUGUCCACUAGGAGUGAUGAUCUGGGCAGGGGUUACCCACAGAGCUCUUGGAAAUGGGGAGAGUUUUAUGUAGCAUUUAAAUAUCCACUAUUUCUCAAUGGUUCCUCUUUCCCUUGGAAAAAGAAGGAUUGGAAUCCCCAAAGGGAUUGGAAUCCUCUCUGUCUAGGAGAUGGAGAAAGGGAAGAUGAAAAAUAUACCUAUUUCUCCAGUGCCUUGCUUCAAAUGACACAUGUCACUUCCCCUAACAUUCUCUGGGGGACAAUCGAUGGUAUGCUGUAUCUAGAUGCAACAAGGAGCUGGGAAAUCCAGACUUUGGAAGGAAAGGGAUUGCAAAAUCUGGGUGAAUAGUCCUUGAUCAACUGGAGGCUGUCGCCAGUGAUGUAAAGAUGCUUCUCUGGAAAGGCUGCUAUUUUACAUGGCAAGAAGUUGUGGCUCUCAGAGACAUUGGCUCUUCUGUGUGUUUAAUGAAGCGCCUGCCUGUCUCCGUGGAACUUAAAGAACUAGUGGAACCUGGAUGAAUCCGAGUGUGGUAAGGAGCAGCUGGCAGAGAGCUGGGGUGUGCUUAGCUGCCUCUCCAUUUCCUCCACAUCAGUCUCCCUGGGCACAAUUCCUUUCUCCUGGAGUCCCUUGAAUCUGUCUCAAUCUUGCCCUGUCCUGAGCCCCAGCCCCAUGCUGUCCAUUCCUGGGUGACCAACAGCUGUGAUUGUUUUACUGCUUUGGGCCACAGGACUGUCACAAUGGUACAAGAUGGUAGCCCUUACUAAAGGCUGUUUUUUGUUUUUUUGUUUUUGUUUUUUUUAACCAAACUCCCAGGUCCUUGAGGGUGACAGUGGUCAUUUAAUCGCUGUGCCUUAGAUCAGAGGCCCCUUCUCAACUGGUGCCAUGGUAUCUCUUGCUCUUUGUGGUUCCAUUUCCCACCUUGUGGCCUUCCCCCCUUCCUUCCAUUUAGCACCCUGGUCCGGGUCCCUCAUUGUGUCCAACGCCCUUCUCACUACUUAUGUAGCUUGAGGAACUUUCAUGAAGAAAUCUGCCGUCGGGUUGCCUGGGUGGCUCAGCGGUUGAGUGUCUGCCUUUGGCUCAGGGCAUGAUCCUGGAGUCCCAGGACUGAGUCCCACAUUGGGCUUCCUGUAUGGGACCUGCUUCUCCCCUUGCCUAUGUCUCUGCCUCUCUCUCUCUCCCUCUCUCUCUCUCUCUGUCUGUGUGUGUUUCUCAUGAAUAAAUAAAUAAAAUCUUAAAAAAAAAAAAAAGAA